rnacentral:rRNA from 1 species
CCUACGGGAGGCAGCAGUGAGGAAUAUUGGUCAAUGGACGAGAGUCUGAACCAGCCAAGUAGCGUGAAGGAUGACUGCCCUAUGGGUUGUAAACUUCUUUUAUAUGGGAAUAAAAUGCUCCACGUGUGGGAUUUUGUAUGUACCAUAUGAAUAAGGAUCGGCUAACUCCGUGCCAGCAGCCGCGGUAAUACGGAGGAUCCGAGCGUUAUCCGGAUUUUUUGGGUUUAAAGGGAGCGUAGGUGGAUUGUUAAGUCAGUUGUGAAAGUUUGCGGCUCAACCGUAAAAUUGCAGUUGAAACUGGCAGUCUUGAGUACGGUAGAGGUGGGCGGAAUUCGUGGUGUAGCGGUGAAAUGCUUAGAUAUCACGAAGAACUCCGAUUGCGAAGGCAGCUCACUGGACUGCGACUGACACUGAGGCACGAAAGUGUGGGUAUCAAACAGGAUUAGAUACCCCGGUAGUC